rnacentral:rRNA from 1 species
GAUCCUGGCUCAGGAUAAACGCUGGCGGCGCACAUAAGACAUGCAAGUCGAACGGAAGUCGUUGUAAUGAUGUUGACAUGGACUGAGAACUUGUUCAAAGAAAGUAGAGAUUGACUUACAACAAUGGCUUUAGUGGCGGACUGGUGAGUAACACGUAAGCAACCUGCCUAUCAGAGGGGAACAACAGUUAGAAAUGACUGCUAAUACCGCAUAUGCCUAAGCAUCACA